CUAAAACAAAAUCUAGACCUAACACACAAAAUACAGAGAGAGAGACGCUUGGAAAUUCUUCAGGGCAGCUGCGCAGCUUUUACAAGACCUCCCCGACGAUCUCUCUUCUUCGUCGACCAAACGAACCUCCCCCAUUGGUUGAUCUUUUCCAAAUCUCAACCAGCUAAAGCCAUAAACGACCACCAAACUCGCCAGAAAAACUCCAACAGCCAUCCACCCUUACCAAGCCGGAAUCCGACGACCAUACAC
rnacentral:lncRNA from 1 species